UACGGAGGGAGCUAGCGUUGUUCGGAAUUACUGGGCGUAAAGCGUACGUAGGCGGUUAUUCAAGUCAGAGGUGAAAGCCCGGGGCUCAACCCCGGAACUGCCUUUGAAACUAGGUAGCUAGAAUCUUGGAGAGGUCAGUGGAAUUCCGAGUGUAGAGGUGAAAUUCGUAGAUAUUCGGAAGAACACCAGUGGCGAAGGCGGCUCACUGGCCCGGUACUGACGCUGAGAUACGAAAGCGUGGGGAGCAAACAGG
rnacentral:rRNA from 1 species